GACGAACGCUGGCGGCGGGCUUAACACAUGCAAGUCGAACGGCAAGGCCCUGCUUUUGUGGGCUGCCCGAGUGGCGAACGGGUGAGUAACACGUGAGUAUCCUGCUCUUGUUUUUGGUGUAACUUCACGUAACUGGGGCUAAUACCGGAUCGGAGCUCCCGCUGCAUGGUGGGGGUUGGAAAGUUUCGGCGGUUGGGGAUGGACUCGCGGCUUAACAGUUUGUUGGUGGGGUAGUGGCUUACCAAGGCUUUGACGGGUAGCCGGCCUGAGAGGGUGACCGGCCACCAUGGGACUGAGAGAGGGCCCAGUCUCGAACGGUAGGCAGCAGUGGGAAAUAUGACACAGUGAGAGCGAGCCUGAUGAAGCAGCGCCGCGGGCGGAAAGACGGCCUGCGGGGUGUAAACAGCUUUCGCCUGAGACGAAGCGGGAGUGACGGUAAUGGAUGAAGAAGCACCGGCUAACUACGUG
rnacentral:rRNA from 1 species